AUAGUAUCUGGCGGGGGAGAUACCACAAUCACGAAGGUGGAUUUCCCAGGUGGAGGCUCACCCAUUGCUCCUGGGAUGUGCUGACCCCUGUGACUUCCCCAAAUGUGGGAAGCUCGACCGCAUAAUUUGUGGUAGUGGGGGACUUUGUUCACGCUCUCCCCUG